rnacentral:rRNA from 1 species
UGAGUAACACGUGAGUAACCUGCCCUUGACUCUGGGAUAAGCGUUGGAAACGACGUCUAAUACCGGAUACGAGCUAGGACCGCAUGGUCACUAGCUGGAAAGAAUUUUGGUCAAGGAUGGACUCGCGGCCUAUCAGCUAGUUGGUGAGGUAACGGCCCACCAAGGCGACGACGGGUAGCCGGCCUGAGAGGGUGACCGGCCACACUGGGACCGAGACACGGCCCAGACUCCUACGGGAGGCAGCAGUGGGGAAUAUUGCACAAUGGGCGAAAGCCUGAUGCAGCAACGCCGCGUGAGGGACGACGGCCUUCGGGUUGUAAACCUCUUUUAGCAGGGAAGAAGCGAAAGUGACGGUACCUGCAGAAAAAGCACCGGCUAACUACGUGCCAGCAGCCGCGGUAAUACGUAGGGUGCAAGCGUUGUCCGGAAUUAUUGGGCGUAAAGAGCUCGUAGGCGGUUUGUCGCGUCUGCUGUGAAAAUCCGAGGCUCAACCUCGGACCUGCAGUGGGUACGGGCAAACUAGAGUGCGGUAGGGGAGAUUGGAAUUCCUGGUGUAGCGGUGGAAUG